AAAUGCUGGAGUGUGGGCUUCUAAUCUUUUAAUAACGAGCUGCCAAAUUUUCCAAAAGAAAGAUCUUUUAUUUUUAAAUGCAAAGAAAAAGGGGGAAGUUAUCUGUUCUAACGGAGAAGAACCAUUAGUAAACCAUCAAUAAUCAGUUUUCAGGAAGGUCUUUUCCUUGCCAUUCUCUGUUUUUCUUGAAAAAGAAAAAGAACACAAUCU
rnacentral:lncRNA from 1 species